GACCCAAUAGCGAAAUGCAUCGCGUCUGCAAAAAGUAUAGAUGCACCUUCCCAUACGCCUUCUGCGGAAGUUCCCGGUUCGAUUCCGGGUUGGGUCA